GCCCCCGUAGCUCAACGGAUAGAGUAGGAGUUUCCGGAACUUCUGAUAGGUGUUCAAUUCACCUCGGGGGCA
rnacentral:tRNA from 1 species